GACGAACGCUGGCGGCGCGCUUAACACAUGCAAGUCGAACGGAAAGGCCUGCUUUCCCUUGUGGAUUGCGGGUACUCGAGUGGCGAACGGGUGAGUAACACGUGAGUGAUCUGCCCCCAACUUGGGUAUAAGCCUGGGAAACUGGGUCUAAUUCCCGAUAGGACUGCAGGGUGGUGCCUGUGGUGGAAAACGAUUUUCUAGUGGUUGGGGAUGAGCUCGCGGCCUAUCAGCUUGUUGGUGGGGUAAUGGCCUACCAAGGCGGCGACGGGUAGCCGGCCUGGGAGGGGGGACGGCCACAUUGGGACUGAGAUACGGCCCAGACUCCUACGGGAGGCAGCAGUGGGGAAUAUUGCACAAUGGGCGGAAGCCUGAUGCAGCGACGCCGCGUGGGGGACGACGGCCUUCGGGUUGUAAACUCCUUUCGACCGCGAGGAAGCCACCUGGUUGGAAGGGUGGUGACGGUAGUGGUAGAAGAAGCACCGGCUAACUACGUG
rnacentral:rRNA from 1 species